UACGGAGGAUCCAAGCGUUAUCCGGAAUUACUGGGCGUAAAGAGUUGCGUAGGUGGCAUAGUAAGCGAAUAUUGAAAGCGUGUGGCUCAACCAUACUCACAUUAUCCGAACUGCUAAGCUAGAGUAUGAGAGAGGUAGAUGGAAUUCCCUGUGUAGGAGUGAAAUCCGUAGAUAUAGGGAGGAACACCGAUGGCGUAGGCAGUCUACUGGCUCAUUACUGACACUCAGGCACGAAAGCGUGGGUAGCAAACGGG
rnacentral:rRNA from 1 species